GUCUUUUCGGAGAAAUCUGAUAAAAUUGGAACGAUACAAAGAAGAUUAGCAUGGCCCCGGCGCAAGGAUGCAAUGCAUAAAUCGAGAAAUGGUUCAAAUUUUU